rnacentral:rRNA from 1 species
UCAACCCUCAAGCGCAGCUUGGUAUUGAGCCCGUGUCAGCGAUGGCAGGCUCCAAAAUCAGUGGCGGCGCCGCUGGGCCCUGAACGUAGUAAUAUCUCUCGUUACAGGCGCUCGGCGCGCUUCUGCCAAAGCCCCAACUUUCU